rnacentral:rRNA from 1 species
ACCCGCUGAACUUAAGCAUAUCAGUAAGCGGAGGAAAAGAAACUAACUAGGAUUCCCCGAGUAGCGGCGAGCGAAAGGGGAGAAGCCCAGCGCCGAAGCCCGCGGCCUCCGGUCGCAGUGCAAUGUGGCGUUACGGCCGCGGCUCGCCGCGACCUCUCUGGCGCGCGUACCUCUGAACGGGUCUGCCCGCAGCGGGUGUCAGGCCUCUACACGCCGAGAGUGGGUCGCGGCCCGCCGCAGCCGCGGAGUCGGGUUGCUUGAGAGUGCAGCCCAAAGUGGGUGGUAAGCUCCAUCUAAGGCUAAAUACCUAGUGCGAGACCGAUAGCAAACAAGUACCGUGAGGGAAAGUUGCAAAGAACUUUGAAAAGAGAGUUCAAGAGUACGUGAAACCGUUCAGAGGCAAACGGACGGAACGGGGCGAGUUCGUCGCGGCCAUUCAGCCGUCGGCCCGUUCGCGCGGGCCCGCCGGUGCACUUGGCCGCGGCGGAGCGCGGCGACCGCCUGCCCGGUCGUCGGAAGCCCGGCGGCAAGGUGACGAAGCGCCCGCCGCUUCGCGUUACAGGCCGCCGACGCGUCGACGGACCGGGCGGGCGAGGAACGCCCGCCGCGCCCUCCCGCCCCCGCGGCGGGAGCCGCCGGACCCGGCGCGCCCGCGGCGGCCGUCGGCGAACUGCCCGCAGUUCGUCGUCGCGCCCGUCGCUCGCGACGCCGGGCCGUGCGGCGAGGCGCGAACGGUCUGCCUGCCGCGUGGCACCCCGCAUUCCGUCCGACCCGUCUUGAAACACGGACCAAGGAGUUGAGCGCGCGCGCGAGUCAAUGGGCUCGUGCGAACCCCAGCGGCGCAGCUAAGGCAAAACGGGCGUGAUCCGGCGCCACACAGAAGGCGUCGGCGCAACGCCGGCCCGCGGCCGACUCGCUCGAGUGGCCGCGGCGCGAGAGCGCGCGCGCUCAGACCCGAAAGGUGGUGAACUAUGCUUGAGCAGGGCGAAGCCAGAGGAAACUCUGGUGGAGGCUCGCAGCGAUCCUGACGUGCAAAUCGGUCGUCAAACUUGAGCAUAGGGGCGAAAGACUAAUCGAACCGCCUAGUAGCUGGUUCCCUCCGAAGUUUCCCUCAGGAUAGCUGGCACCCGGCAUAAAUGGUUUUAUCCGGUAAAGCGAAUGAUUAGAGGCAUUGGGGGCGAAACGCCCUCAACCUAUUCUCAAACUUUAAAUGGGUAAGAAGCGCGAGCCUUCCCGAGCGGGCUCGCGUGCCUAGAACAGCGGGUGCCAAGUGGGCCGUUUUUGGUAAGCAGAACUGGCGCUGUGGGAUGAACCAAACGCGCGGUUAGGGUGCCUAACGCACGCUCAUGAGACACCACAAAAGGUGUUGGUUGAUAUAGACAGCAGGACGGUGGCCAUGGAAGUCGGAAUCCGCUAAGGAGUGUGUAACAACUCACCUGCCGAAUCAACUAGCCCUGAAAAUGGAUGGCGCUGGAGCGUGCGACCCAUACCGCGCCGUCGGGGCAACGCGUGCGAAAUGCCAGGCCCCGACGAGUAGGAGGGCGCGUCGGUGGCGUAGAAGCGUUGUGCGCGAGCACGCGUGGAGCCGCCUUCGGUGCAGAUCUUGGUGGUAGUAGCAAGUAUACAAAUGAGAACUUUGUAGACCGAAGUGGAGAAGGGUUCCAUGUGAACAGCAGUUGGACAUGGGUCAGUCGGCCCUAAGAGAUCGGAGAAUUCCGUUCUGAACGGGGGAGGAGCAUGCGCGCUAGCCGGUCUGAGCCGUGCGCGGCCGUGUGAGGCGGCCGCCGUGUUGAGCCGGCGUAUUUGGCGCGGGUGCAAACCUAUGAACCCCGAUGCGAUCGAAAGGGAAUCGGGUUAAUAUUCCCGAACCCGGCGGCGGAGAUUGGGCCCUCGGGCCCCAGUGCGGUAACGCAACCGAACUCGGAGACGCCAGCGUCGAUCCCGGGAAGAGUUCUCUUUUCUUUGUUAGGAGCGGACUCCCUGGAAUUGGCUUGUCCAGAGAUAGGGACGUUGCAUCCGUAAAGCGUCGCGCCUCACGCGGCGUCCGGUGCAUCGGCGUUGGCCCUUGAAAAUCCGAGGAAGGCAGUGUAAUUUUCGCCCCGGGCCGUACCCGAAUCCGCAGCAGGUCUCCAAGGUGAACAGCCUCUGGUCGAUAGAACAAUGUAGGUAAGGGAAGUCGGCAAAUCCGAUCCGUAACUUCGGGAUAAGGAUUGGCUCUGAGGUGCGGGCUGUUUCGGGUCGCGGCAAGAAGCGGACAGCGCGUUGGUUGGACUGGACGCGCUCGCGCGCGUUCGGACCGCCGCCAGCGCGCGUCCGUGGGAGGCCGUGGCUUUCGCCGGCGCGGGCCUCGCGCUCGCGUCGGCUUCGUUCGGCCUAAACGCACGGCACAGAACUGUCGCGGACUCUGGGAACACGACUGUCUAAUUAAAACAAAGCAUCGCGAUGGCCGCUGGUCGGUGUUGACGCGAUGUGAUUUCUGCCCAGUGCUUUGAAUGUCAAA